rnacentral:rRNA from 1 species
GCUGGCGGCAGGCUUAACACAUGCAAGUCGAGCGGGCGUAGCAAUACGUCAGCGGCAGACGGGUGAGUAACGCGUGGGAACGUACCUUUUGGUUCGGAACAACCCAGGGAAACUUGGGCUAAUACCGGAUAAGCCCUUACGGGGAAAGAUUUAUCGCCGAAAGAUCGGCCCGCGUCUGAUUAGCUAGUUGGUGAGGUAACGGCUCACCAAGGCGACGAUCAGUAGCUGGUCUGAGAGGAUGAUCAGCCACAUUGGGACUGAGACACGGCCCAAACUCCUACGGGAGGCAGCAGUGGGGAAUAUUGGACAAUGGGCGCAAGCCUGAUCCAGCCAUGCCGCGUGAGUGAUGAAGGCCCUAGGGUUGUAAAGCUCUUUUGUGCGGGAAGAUAAUGACGGUACCGCAAGAAUAAGCCCCGGCUAACUUCGUGCCAGCAGCCGCGGUAAUACGAAGGGGGCUAGCG